rnacentral:lncRNA from 1 species
CUAGUCAUACUUUUUAAAUACAUGUUUCCUCUAGACCUCGGAAAUAGAAAAAGGCUUUGGAAGGCCCAGUACAUCAUUUUGACUUGAGAACCAUCAGGCCAGUCUGGGACAAGCGGAACAGAAGUCACCUCAUUUAUUAGUGAAAAUAAUAUAUUUUGUUUUGCCAGUUCUGAAACAACCAGUCUGAGUGAUCCUACCUGCUUAGCUCGGGCACUUUGAUGGCCUCAGGAGCCCAGGAGAAAAGGACAAAUGCCUUAGUUUCAAGUUUCUCGUCUGAGCUUCUCACACUGAGCCGUUCUCCAUGUGUCAUCCCGCUCCGGACACUGAACUCCUGACAACCUGCCCCGAGAAGACUGCCAAAAAAACACCACCUAUUCUUCUUCAUCCUCACUAACAAUUUGGUAAUGAAGUAUCGAUUUCCACUUCUCAGCUUAUGGACGAUAUUAGAUUUUCAUUGAUAAACUGCACCGGGGCUGUCUCGUCUCCACUGUCCCCUUUCCGCUGUCACUAUAACAAAGUGCCACUGAAGAAAGAUAAUGACUGAAAACAUUGAUGUACUUAUUUCAUCAAUUUGUAACACUUGACAGCUUAAAAAAAAAGUAUAAUUCCUCAUAGUUUAAUGUCCAAGUGGGCUGCUCUCGAUGUAGUCACAUUGGAAGCUUACUUUUCAUGGUAAUGUCCAUUUCCUAUUUAUAACCCCUUUGGGAUAGUUUGUCUAAAGGAAAUGUUUCUAUUCAGUGCAGCUAUUACUGUUGCACCUGGGUUGCCCAAUCCAGCCUCUGCACUAGGGAACAAUACAUCACAGUAAGUAGGAGAAUUAUUAAGUUAAAACAGAUUCUGAGCCAAAAAACCUCUGAACAAUGUUAAUCUUCUGAGCAAGUUGUUCAGCUAUCCAUGUUUAACCAUCUGGCUGCCACACAUUUCCAUCAGUUUUGCUGGAGGUUUUUUGUUGGUGUUUUUUUGGUUACUUGAUUCCUCACAAAAAUUCAAAAUCAUGCAGCCUUUUGGUUAGAGGACUGCGAAAUGGAGGAAUCUUGAAACAAAUAUUAUGCACACAUUUUCAGACCCCAAAAUGUGAAAGGAUGACCUCUUCAAAGAUUGAACACUAAACUAAUCCUGUAGGAUCUGUAUUUAUAGUCUGCAAAUCGCAGAUUAGCUUUAUAUUCAACGGAAAGCACAAAAUCGGGUGUCCAUUUUAAAUGUGUUCCUACAACUUUUUUCAUUAAAACUUUGAGGCCCCAAUUUUAAUUUGUGGAAUAUUCACGUUAAUAAUGAGAUCUAAUUAAGACAUCCAUUAAAAGCCCGUUAAAGUUAAUUUAACGUAAAAAUUCCAAUAGAACUGUAUUAGAUUUUCUCCAUUAAAUUAACGUUAUGGAUUUUUAACGGAUGUCUUAAUUAUACGUUAUUAUUAACGGGAAUACUGUAUUACACAGAUUAAAAUCAGGUCCUAAGUCAACUGAGAAAAGCUUACUGGGGGUUUCAAUACUAAAAAUCUUCCAUACCUAGUGCACUGUUUGGAAAAUCAGGAAUAGAUCUUUUUGCUAUAGCAGAGCCUUUCCCGUAUAGCUGAAGCCACCUAGAAUAGAUAAAUCCAUCAUUGCUUUUAAAGAAUGAAUUUCCUUAUUCUCAAAGGAUAAAUAAGUCUGGAUCAAGUUAUAAACCGUUACUCUGUUACAGAUGAAAUAUUCAAACUAUGUGAGGCACAGAACUGGGAACUGAAAGAUUCAGAAAUGAGACGUUCUUUGUUUUAAUUACCCAGGAUAGUAUCAAAGCCCAUUGCCCACAGAAUGAAACCAAAAGAUUCCAUUCUC